AACGAACGCUGGCGGCAGGCCUAACACAUGCAAGUCGAGCGAGGACUUCGGUCCUAGCGGCGGACGGGUGAGUAACGCGUGGGAACGUGCCCUUUGCUUCGGAAUAGCCCUGGGAAACUGGGAGUAAUACCGGAUGAGCCCUUUGGGGGAAAGAUUUAUCGGCGAAGGAUCGGCCCGCGUUGGAUUAGGUAGUUGGUGGGGUAAUGGCCUACCAAGCCGACGAUCCAUAGCUGGUUUGAGAGGAUGAUCAGCCACACUGGGACUGAGACACGGCCCAGACUCCUACGGGAGGCAGCAGUGGGGAAUCUUAGACAAUGGAGGAAACCCUGAUCUAGCCAUGCCGCGUGAGCGAUGAAGGCCUUAGGGUUGUAAAGCUCUUUCAGCUGGGAAGAUAAUGACGGUACCAGCAGAAGAAGCCCCGGCUAACUCCGUG
rnacentral:rRNA from 1 species